AAGCCAGGUGAAUCAGUGUUGUCCUUGCUAGAGGAGGCUCAGCUGCUUGAAAUCACACAUGGUGCUGGCUUAACAGUGUGUCUGAGACAGCCCCGAGCCUCCGUGUGUCCUGGAUUAAAGUGAAGGUGAAAUGUCCUGCCGCGGCCACAACAGCACUGAAAAGCUGCUUCUGUUGCUGAGGUGCUAACUUCGUGAAGCGGGGUUUCCUGGAGUGACUGGAACUAUACUUAGACGUGGCGUGGCUGGGGUGAGAUCACACAUCGGGGCCACUGUCUCCCGCCGCCCCCAGAAGAGACUGUGUAGGUGCAGGAGAAACAAGCUCGGGGCCUCAGCGCCCAGUGACGCUGCAGUGUGAGACAGUGCAGUGUGAUCGUGAUGGGAAUGAAGCUACAAUAAGCGGAAUGAGCUGAGGUCACCUGAACCCCCUCCGCAUCCGCGGUUUUCCUCCAGAAAACCAGUCUCUGAUGCAAAAAUGUUGGGCAUUUCUGCCUUAGAAAAUUAUUGAAGCUAUUAUUAUAUUUAAUCAUUUUGUUUUUAAGCAUUUUCACUAAAGAAAGAAGUGAGUGACGUGCCACCAUUGCAGUGCCACGGAAUCUUCAAUUUGAUUAUGCACUUAUUUUUACCAACUUCUAGAAUGCUGAGGAAAGGCACGGGGAGGAGUGAUAUGCCAGCUCUGCUCCUGACCUUAGUGAAGCUUCUAGCUCGUCGCCGACAUGCUGCUUUGCUAUUGCAAAUAAUGCAAGCUGAGUACUUCUCCACUGGGUAUGGUUGCUGCAUUCCUUUAUCGGUUCAUCUCUUGGUGGACUCCCAGGCUGGUUGCAUGCCUCAGCCAUUGCACAUGGCGCCACUGUAAGCACGGUGGGUGGAUAUCCUUGUGGUAUGCUGAUGUAGCUCCUUCGGAUAUAUCACAAGUGGUACAGUGCUUGUCUUAGUCUUUGGAAGAACCUCCACGUUGAUUUCCACAGUGGCUGUACUGAUUUAAAUUCUCACAGUGCCGAAGGCUUCCUUUAUGCCUUUCCAGAGUCCGUCCUUUUUGUAUUCUUGAUGAUAGCCAUUCUCACUGGGCUAAGAGGCAUCUCAGUGUAGUUCGAUUUGCAUUUCUUUCAUGGUUAAAGAUGUUGAACAUUUUCUCGUAUACUUAUUGGCCACUUGUACUUCCUCUUUGAGAACUAUCUUUUCAAUUCUUUUGCCCAUUUACUGAUUGGGCUAUUUAAUUUUUUUGGUUUUUUGAGGUCUUUGUGUUUUCUAAGUCUUAACCCUCUAUACGAAAUGAGGUAUUUUUCCUAGAAGAUAGUGAAUAUUGGAUGGUGAAAUGAAGAAUGCAAUAAACAAAUCCAAAUGACAGUGUCCAGACUGAAAUGUUCACAAAUAAAUAAGUAUCCAUAGAGCACCGCUCAUGCAACACUGGAUCUCAUAAUGAGAAAAACAAAAUCGCAGCCUGGAUAGAAGUUGUGGCUUUGUCGUAAAUCACCUAGUGGAUGUGGCCAAAUCCCUCUGCUUCUGUACCUCAGUAUCCUCAUUUCUACAAGGAGGGAUUGAAUUCAGUGUUCUUUCCAAGUUUUUUUCCAGCUCUGAAAUGGUAAUGAUCCAAGCUUGCCAAACGAGAAUGGGAAGAUUCUCCUGGCUUAGGGUUUCAUGGAAAAGCGAACGGAAGCAGGCCCAGGUGCAGGGCAGAAGGAGAAGCCAGUGGACCCCAAACCGUAGAGCAGAGGAAGCUCCAAGGAGCCUCCAGGGACGGAGGUCAAGUCCAGGACAGGACGUCUCCCUGUGAGCUGAGGAGCACCCUCCAGUCGCUGGGUCCCGCCUGGAGUCCACAAGCUGUAACCGUGGUGAUAGUUGCCAUAGAGAGGGAUAAAUAGACUGUUGUUUGGUGCAAUUACUUGGUUCCUGCAAGAAAGUUUCACACUCAAAAUAAAUAUUAUAUAUGGCUCCCAUUGGCAGUGCCUGAUCCAGAAAUAAGAACAUACAGUGUAUUUUCUGAGGUGUUAGAAGGGUUACAGUGAUGCACGUCCAUAAUAGCCCAACAAGAAUCCUUGAAAGUCAUGUGGAUUUUGGAAUUCAAAUUUUCUUUGGAUUAAAAAAAACAGACACAAGAUAUAUGCCAAAUAUUUUAUUACCUACACAGAGGUACAAUGCAGCACACUGUACUCAUGCAUAUUUAGCAAUAUUUCUGCAUUGAAAUCUAUGAGUUUUAUUGAGAAAUAAAGAACAAAUCGUUUCUCUUUAGCACUAAUUGGGUCAGAUUUCUAGAUUUUGCAGUUUAGUGGAUAAAGAACUGUGGACUAGUCGGUACUAGAGUUAAUUAAGAUCAGAGAAUCUUGGAUAAGGGAGAGAGAGCGAGAG